rnacentral:sRNA from 1 species
AGAUGAGCAGGACCCUGCAGCCAGGCCCUUGUCCCUGCACCAUACCCACUGUGGAGCAGCCCAGGAUGGACAAUGGGGAGGCCUGCUUCAUCCUCAGCAG